rnacentral:rRNA from 1 species
UACGGAAGGGGCAAGCGUUGUUCGGAAUCAUUGGGCGUAAAGGGCGCGUAGGUGGUUCUGUAUGUCUACCGUGAAAGCGUACGGCUCAACCGUAUUUUGUCGGUGGAAACUGCAGGACUUGAGGCUGGGAGGGGCUGGUGGAAUUCCCUGUGUAGCGGUGAAAUGCGUAGAGAUCAGGAAGAACAUCGGUGGCGAAGGCGCUCUGCUGGACCAUAACUGACACUCAGGGACGAAAGCUAGGGGAGCGAAUGGG